AGAGAGAGACAUGCGCGCAUAUCAAUAAGCGGAGGAAAAGAAACUAACAAGGAUUCCCCUAGUAACGGCGAGUGAAGCGGGAAGAGCUCAAAUUUGAAAUCUUAAAGGGUUUCCCUUUACGAAUUGUAGUUUAAAGAAGUGUUUUCUGUUGAGGUUUUGGUAAAAGUUCUUUGGAAUAGGACAUCAUAGAGGGUGAGAAUCCCGUAUUUGACCUUUACUUUCAACUUUGUGAUACACUUUCAAAGAGUCGGAUUGUUUGGGAAUGCAGUCCAAAAUGGGUGGUAAAUUUCAUCUAAAGCUAAAUAUUGGCGAGAGACCGAUAGCGAACAAGUACCGUGAGGGAAAGAUGAAAAGAACUUUGAAAAGAGAGUUAAACAGUACGUGAAAUUGUCAAAAGGGAAGCGUUUGACACCAGUGUUGUUUUUCUGAAAAUCAAUUAAAGAACUGUUUAUGCUAAGUUGUUUAGACUUUAUCAGCUAACUGUUUAGUUUUGAGCUUUUCUUUAAUGCACUUUUCAGUUAACAAGUCAACAUCAAUUUCUUUUGCUGUAAAAAAGCUUGAGGAAGGUGGCUUGAGAUUCGUCUUAAGUGUUUAUAGCCUCUUGCCUAUGCAGUCGGAGAGAUUGAGGUCUGCAGCGUAGAUCCUUCGGGGCUAAAUGCAUUUGCUGCUAAGUUAUAGCAUUUUAUAGACAACUUGUUGACUAUGAUUUGUCUUGUAGCUUACUCGCUUAUGUUAUUUUACCUACGCUUAGGAUGUUGACGCAUGAGAUAUACGC
rnacentral:rRNA from 1 species